UACGUACGGUGCAAGCGUUAAUCGGAAUUACUGGGCGUAAAGCGUGCGCAGGCGGUUUUGUAAGUCUGUCGUGAAAGCCCCGGGCUCAACCUGGGAAUUGCGAUGGAGACUGCAAGGCUUGAAUCUGGCAGAGGGGGGUAGAAUUCCACGUGUAGCAGUGAAAUGCGUAGAGAUGUGGAGGAACACCGAUGGCGAAGGCAGCCCCCUGGGUCAAGAUUGACGCUCAUGCACGAAAGCGUGGGGAGCAAACAGG
rnacentral:rRNA from 1 species